GCCAAACUUGUGUGAAUGAUGCAGGCUCUGCAGCCCGGGCUGCACCCACACCCUUCUUUCAACUUAAAGAGACUCUGAAGGAGGUGGAGCAAACGUGUGUCUGGAGCUCCGCUUGGGCUGGGAUAUGAACUGGGAGACGUCUGAGAGGGCAACAUGUGUUACGCUGCCUGCGUUGUGUGUUGUGUUGCGUGAGUGUGCGUCUGACUGAGUGCAUAUGUGUGCAUGCAUUGUACGCCGCGGGUGUUUGGACCGACUUAGAGGCGCCGUACUGUAAAACUUUCUGACCUGUUGAUUUAUCUUCACUAAAAAGGGCCCGUGAAAGAUCUGUCGGUGAGCCAGCCCCCAAACCACCCAUAACGCAGUCUGCGGUCGCCAUUCAGCACUCAUAAACUACAAAGGACUGAGUGAAGAUUACUUUUAAACGCUGCUUUUUCGGGGUUUUUUUCAUACACGCCCAACUCGUUGAAAUGAACGGGCAAAUGAGACUCCCAACGCAAGUGGACCAAAGAAGAAAGAGAAGUGUUGAGAAAGGACCGCAGGAAUGAACCACGGCAGGCAAGACGGUGUGGAGGAGGAGAGCGAGCGCAUGGGGCCGGGUGGGUGGAGCCCGCGCCAUGCAGGAAGGAAACACAGGAAACGUUCUAGCAGGAAAACAAUGUAAUCAUGAACCCUGGGCUCAUUUACUGUCUGGUUGGUAAUAUAGGCAGCAUGUGUGUGUGUGUGUGUGUGUGUGUGUGUGUGUGUGUGUGUGUGUGUGUGUGUGUGUGUGUGUGUGUGUGUGUGUGUGCGUGUGCGUGUCAGAACCAAACCAUACGUUAACGGGCUGCAGAUUUCAUAAUUAAAUCAAUGAAUUGCUUGAGAACAAAAUACAUUCGAGAAAAGUAUAUUGUUUGUAAAAGACAAGGGACUUUCUCUGGCGAACUUCAAGCGGCUGAAUGGGGGACAGCCUCUAGCAAACUUCAACCAGCUCAGCCCCCCUGCGGCUCCAGACAGAGGAGUGAUUCCCCUUGGCGGACUGGCAGUGGUGCCGUCGUUUGGGCUCAACCUCCUGUGCCUACUGAGCUGAUAACAGUUAGAUGUCAAAACAAGCACUGGCUCAGUUCAGCAGGAACCGGAGUUACGCCUUCAAUAAACAGCGAGGACAUAUCCGUCCCCACGCACGAUUAUGCACUUGUAUUAAAUGUUGCAGUAAACUUUUUUAGUAAAUGUUUCUCUCUGUAUGUGUUAGACUAAACUGUGUUGUUUUAGGUGCCAUGGUUUUUGUUAUUUUAUUUAAAACAUAAAUGUUCAUACUUCCUCUAUGAAUCAUAGGGAGAUUGCAAUCAGUGAGUACAGAGAGCUUUGAUGUUGUCCCACACCCACACCCACACCCACACACACACACACACACACACACACACACACACACACACACACACACACACACACACACACAUCCUGAAACCAACCUGUUGGCCAUCGAUUCUCAAGGCCUCGUGAUGGAGGAAAUUUGCUCCUGUUGGUUGUGUGUUUACUCAAAGAUCACAGGAGCAGAGAUUUUUCCAGAUGCACUUCCCCGAUAGCACAUCAGAUCGCCCUCUGUGGGAGCACAUAAUAAAGCAAGGAAGAAGUGAACCUUCUGACUUUGAGAGCAUUAGGGCUUUUUAAUGCCAGUGUAAUAUUUGUAAAGACGGCCUGAGUCUGUUUUUUUCAGUUAUGUAAGUAACUGCUCCUUUAAAUGUGCAACUCUGACUCUCAGCUUUUAAGAAAAUACCAUAACUAACACCGAACUAACGUUACACAUCAUUUUUUUAAUAAUGUCCAUACAGUCAACAGUUUGUCUCUUUAUAUUAAAGAUAUUGAUGAAGUGUAACGUUGAUUCAGUAAUCAUUUUGUAUUAAGCGAACAAAUGGGGACUGGGAACGAAUUUCCCCAUCGCGUCAUGUUAUUUACCAUACAUGAAUGCCAAGUCUUAUGCCCCACAACUGUACAGCGAAAAUACAGUUUCUAUGUGAAACCAAACACAUUUCAUAUUUCGGUGUAUAUCUUACCUUGGACAAAUAAAGAC
ensembl:lncRNA